ACAUGCAAGUCGAGGGGCAGCAUUUUAGUUUGCUUGCAAACUAAAGAUGGCGACCGGCGCACGGGUGGGUAACACGUAUCCAACCUGCCGAUAACUCGGGGAUAGCCUUUCGAAAGAAAGAUUAAUAUCCGAUAGUAUAUUAAAACCGCAUGGUUUUACUAUUAAAGAAUUUCGGUUAUCGAUGGGGAUGCGUUCCAUUAGUUUGUUGGCGGGGUAACGGCCCACCAAGACUACGAUGGAUAGGGGUUCUGAGAGGAAGGUCCCCCACAUUGGAACUGAGACACGGUCCAAACUCCUACGGGAGGCAGCAGUGAGGAAUAUUGGUCAAUGGACGAGAGUCUGAACCAGCCAAGUAGCGUGAAGGAUGACUGCCCUAUGGGUUGUAAACUUCUUUUAUAUGGGAAUAAAGUAUUCCACGUGUGGGAUUUUGUAUGUACCAUAUGAAUAAGGAUCGGCUAACUCCGUGCCAGCAGCCGCGGUAAUACGGAGGAUCCGAGCGUUAUCCGGAUUUAUUGGGUUUAAAGGGAGCGUAGGUGGAUUGUUAAGUCAGUUGUGAAAGUUUGCGGCUCAACCGUAAAAUUGCAGUUGAAACUGGCAGUCUUGAGUACAGUAGAGGUGGGCGGAAUUCGUGGUGUAGCGGUGAAAUGCUUAGAUAUCACGAAGAACUCCGAUUGCGAAGGCAGCUCACUAGACUGCAACUGACACUGAUGCUCGAAAGUGUGGGGUAUCAAACAGGAUUA
rnacentral:rRNA from 1 species